UUCUUGCCUGCAGACGGCCGUGGCCAGAGGAGGAGAAGGACUAUGAGAGAUGCCCGGAGGAGCGCCGCGUGGCCACGGGCUGGGCGGUUUGCCCGCGGAGGACUCGUGCACAUUACCAGCAUGGUUCAAGGAUGAAGCCGGCGUGGCAGCUGUAAUGAAGCACGGUUCCUUCCACGGGGGGCCCGGGAGGCUUCGCCGUCACCCUGCCGUUCUCCAGAGACGUCCACACCCGCGGGCACAGCAGCACUGGAAACAAGAAGAGAGAGUUAUGGAAAGGUUUCACAGUCAGAUGCAUCCCUCAUUUAUGACGUCUGCUUCCAAAAAGACGCCAGUUUGAGACUUCAGAGUGGGACGUCACUCACACCAUCUUUUAUAUACAGACUGUGGUGAAAAAACAUUAUGGAAGGCACCAAACAUGGCCAGACUGUAAGUAACCACUUUUAUUUCAACCUGUCACUGGUGACAUAAAAUACUGUGAAGAAGACUUGAGUGACUGCUCAUUUUUUCAUAUUAUGUUUCCAAGGAACGAGACUCCCCCCCCCAAGUGGUGUUGAGCAAUAAUUCUCCGGCUCUCUGAAGGUCUUUCAAGUUUUUCUUUGGUAAAUGGAAGACCGGCUGUCAAGAAGCCAGAGUUAAGGAAGGGAAAUAGAGAAAAGGCUCAGGUAUGCCAAAUUACACAAGAACAGGACUGAAAAUCAGGGGUAACAGAUCUUUUAUGGUCAUUAAUCCAAACUUGAAGUUUUUGGUUCAAAUGAUCAUCAGUGUGUCUUUAAAACACAGUGGAAGCUCUGUCUUGGUUUGGGGCUGAUUAGCAACAGGUUCACUGUUUAGUGCAACAAUGAUCCCAAACACACAAUCAUUGCAGUACAAGUUCACCUGGAUAGAAAAAUAAACCACAAUGGCUCACUAUCAGGCAUGGAUCGGCCUCCCCAGAGCCUAAACGUCAACACUAUUGAAGUACUCAGCAGAGAACUGAACAAAAAGCAGCCAACAUCCAAAGAAGAGCUUUGAAGAGCCUUUAUGAAGCCUGGAGAAUUGCAUGUCUUUCCUUAAGUUGCUGAAAUCAUUUUCCAUUCUUGUAGCAAAUAUAAAGAAAUCAUGGUUGGCUUAAGACUUUUGCAUGUAUUGGCUUUUGCAUUGCAUGCAUUCCAUUGAAAGUAUUCAUGGAUUUUCAGUAUUGUGGGUGGCCGACAAACUAGAAAUGAACAUUUCUUGAGCAGUAAAAGUAUUUGUAGAGCUUCAAAACAUCCUGCAGCUCAGUUACAUUCAGAAGAGUUUUCCUUUACCAAAAGGUUUCAUUUAGUAUUCUUUGUAAUGAGAUAAAGGAGCAGGGAAUGCUUUGGGAAUAGGAGAGUUUGCAGCUGGAUGAAUGUUUCACCUCAGCCUUUUGUGAGCAGAUUAGAAUUUUGCUCUGUUGCCUUGUCAGUCAGUUUAAUCUACCAUUGUAACGUGAGGGCCGAGUCGGACGGUGCAGGAGUCCAAAUGUAACAACUCAUUUUGUUCCAGUGCUUGAAACUACAUCUCAUGGCCUUCAGAAGCAACCAGGUCAGUGAAGGAAAGAGUGACUGUUGGCCUUAGUCUCCUCACGCUAACAUUUAACAUAUAGUUUAUCAGAACGUCGCCUUGUUGAAUGAGGAAGUAUAAAAUCUGCACAAGUCUACGUUAGUAGGAAGGCAUGGGGUCAAUGGCAAAAAUCAGAGGAUAACAGUUCCUGCCUUAGUAUUAUAACGAGUGGUGCAGAAGUGUACAUUAUACUAUUAUUAGAUUUAGGAUCACAUUUUUAUUAGCACCUCAUCUUACUGAACUCAUGUUUAUAUUAGAGUUUAAAAGAAGUAUCAGUUUAAACUAACUUGACAUGCUUGUCUUUGGAAGGCCCGAGCAGACAGGUGACAGUGCUAACCAACCCAGUGACAGACUGGGGACCUGUCCAGGAUGUACCCCACCAGCCUCAGCCCCCCUGCGCAACCCUGAACUGGAUAAACAGAACAGAAUGGAUGGAUGGAUUUUAAAUGACCUGCAAGCUUUGUGUCAUUAACGGUUCUUUAAAACUAGAAAAUAUAAAAUAUGAUUGUAAUCAGUAUUUUUAAUACUAAUAUUUUAUUAUUAUGUGACAAUUUUAAAAUAGCGGGCAAAAACUUACAGCAGUGUCUUGGAUUCACGGAGCGGUUUCAGCUCACUGUUUAACCGUUUGGCUACAGCUUUACUGGUUUGGCCCUCUCACUGCUCUCCUAUUGUGCCCGGCCAAAUCGAGCUGCUAUUUUCGGAUGAAACACCUCCAAAAAUUCAUUGAACACGAUCUGCUCUGUGCCAGUCAGUUUAUGGAGGGAGGGAAAGGUUACAUGUAAUAGAGUUGAAAAUUAAAAUAUGUAAAGAUGUCAAAACAUCACAAUAUCAGUGAUUACAAAUGGGUUACAUCUUUAUUUCUUUCAGAAAAAAGGGUUUUAUGUAAACUAUAACAUUCAUUCUUUUGCUUUUCACCAUGCUGGAGUCUCUUCCUUUGGCAUGUUUUCCACAGUCCUGGUCAGUAAAACCAUUGGGGACUAAUGUGAGUGAAACAUCACCAAGGGUAGAAUGGCUUACAAGGAACUAGGACAAGAACUCCUUUCAGUGCCUGAAAUUCAUUAAAAGACCUAACAUGAGUGUAGAAUAUAAAUAUAAAUAAUAAUAUUGGAAAUAUUCUCACUCAGAUACUUGAGGAAACAGAUGGUACACGACUCUCCUGCUUUAAUAACCAGUUAAAAACAUGUUUGCAAAGAAAUGAAAAGUAACCACAUGUAAAAUAAAAGUAACACUGCAAUAACCUGUUAGUACAGUUGUUAUUGUGUGCACCAGUUUAUGGUUUAAAUGUGUUUAAAUGUGUUUAUUUAUGUAAAGGAAAACACAAGAACCAGACACAGGGCAACAAUUCACCCUAGACUCCGGCUGGAGAAUUACUCUCACCUUCUCCAUCCCUGCUGAGUCAGCACACACGGCAUGAUUAACUCUUCAGUCUCUUUUGUUUGUUUAGCUUGUUACAGAUGUGAGAGUCGGGGUUGAUGACUGUGUCUGAUAUCAGGCGCCUUUUGGGUCUUUUGUUUGAGAAACUAACUUGCUUAAUGUGCUUUUUUUUUUUUUUUUUUUGCAUUUCUAAGACCUUUGAGUUUAAUACCUCAGAUGUGUUUCAGCAGGAUUUCUGCCCACAUGAAACAUUAUCCUAAGACUAGUUAGCAAACUAGCAACAGCACUUUGAAACUUGCGUUGGGGAAAGUGUCUCACAGCUGAGAUAAAAUGUCCUAAUACUGGAGCUCUGCUCUUUGCUUGUAAACCUGGCUGCAUGUGCACAGCGUCAGUGCAGAGGAGGGGACCGAGGUGCUGCUGCCGACUGAGAUCACAGUGCUGUGUGUUUGCAUGAGUUUUACAGAUUAACGACAAAAGUUUUGGUGGUGGUAUGAACUCUAUGUCAAUAUUUCAGAAAAAAAGGACAAAGAAAAAAAUAAAAGAAAUAAAACACUCCUCUGUUAGAGCCAUUGUUGCCUUUCUGAGUAAUUCCUCUGCUUCUUCCACUUGUUAGACAGGACAUGUCCCCUGCAUCCAACCUGAAAU